GACGAACGCUGGCGGCGUGCUUAACACAUGCAAGUCGUACGGUAAGGCCCUUUCGGGGGUACACGAGUGGCUAACGGGUGAGUAACACGUGAGUAACCUGCCCACAACUUUGGGAUAACGCUCGGAAACUGGUGCUAAUACUUGAUAUGUGCUCCUGCUGCAUGGUGGGGGUUGGAAAGCUCCGGCGGUUGUGGAUGGACUCGCGGCCUAUCAGCUUGUUGGUUGGGUAGUGGCCUACCAAGGCGGCGACGGGUAGCCGGCCUGAGAGGGUGACCGGCCACAUUGGGACCGAGAUACGGCCCAGACUCCUACGGGGGGGAGCAGUGGGGAAUAUUGCACCAUGGGCGCAAGCCUGAUGCAGCAACGCCGCGUGCGGGAUGAAGGGCCUCGGGUUGUAAACCGCUUUCAGCAGGGACGAAGCUGUUUGUGACGGUACCUGCAGAAGAAGCACCGGCUAACUACGUG
rnacentral:rRNA from 1 species